GGCUCACAGGGAUCGCAUGGAUUCUAGACGCCGGCAAUGUAGCCCAGUUGUCUUUAUCUUGGCUGAUCCUGAUUCUCCUAUCCCCCUUUAGAUCUCUCGCAGAAGCGCAUUACCAUGACAACGCCGGGAAUCCUGGCUAACGACGAAACAGGGAGCCAAUCGCGCGGGCGCGAGUGUCAUAACAUGCAGGCGAACGUCUUCUUGAAUUACUUGAUUUGGAACUACAUGGAAUAUUUCUUGGAGCCCUGGAAACAGUCAUGUGAGCCUGCGUCGAACCACAAUGGCAAACUGUGUCGUUGGAGCAUGAACUCAACCUUUUUUCAGGGGGGGGGGGGUCAUGACAGACAUGCGUGAUUCUGAGCGGAACCGGCUUUGGGACGUUAUUUGGAUUUGGUGUUUUGUGUGGAGACUCUUCUGUCACAUAGAACACCAGACACCUUCCGCCAAUUGUUCCACCCCGCUUGGACCCGGCCACGAUGUACGGAUUAGAGACGGUGGCUCUGAAGAAACAACAGGAAGCAGAAUUGGAGAUUCUUGAAGAGAAGCAGAAAACGGUGCGGUAAGGUCCGCACACACACAGAUGCUCGUAACCAUAAAUACAAAUGCUUAUUAAUCAAAGAGCCAGAUGAUUACAUCCCGCAUACUUUUACGCUCAUAGAUUAUUCUAAUGGGUCCUUUGCAGGUCUUGCAGAACUUCCUAACAACUACAUUACAGGGCUAAAUACCUUCCGCUGCAUUAAAGUAGACAAGGUGCGUAAUUAAUUCAUCGAUUAUUUAUAUCUCCCCACAACAAUAACAAGAACAAAGGAUCAUGGUCCCAAUUAAUGUUUAAAGGUCACAUGACUAGAGAGAGGCGCUUUCCUGGAAUGAAUCAUCAUAUGUAAACACACACACACACACAUUCACAUCUAUGUAUAUAUAUAUUUUAUAUGUCAUGCAUAGUCAUUAACAGAAAUAGGUGGUCUGAAGUAAAAAACACAAUUUAACCUGUAAAUUCUCUUCUGAUAAAUCAAACAUGAUGAGACAAAAAAAUGUAUUCCUGUUAGAGUAUAAAAGGUAUGUCUUCAAGUUGACUUUUGGGUUGUGUAGAUCAUGGUAUUAUUAAUUGCAAAUGAUAAAAUUGUAAAAUGUCAAUUAAUAAACUUGAAAUUGAUAUAUUAAAUUCAAACAAGAAUAUGUUUACAUAAAAUAAAUUACACUAAAGGAAUAUGCUCAUAGUAUAUUUAAAGAAAUUCCAAAAUAUCAUAAGGGACAUUCAUGUUGCCCUUUUGUAACCCUAAAAAAAUAGGAUAAAAUGCUACAAUUACAUCACUUGAACACACUAGUAAAAGUAGCUGUGGUGAAUUGUAAAAUUGACGACACAUAUAAUAAGUGACCAUAAAAAAAAUUCUAGAUCACAGUUUUCAUAUUUCCCUCAUACCCUGAAUCAUUUCGCCUUGUUUACAUUUGAAGAGUUUGUUUUCAAAACGAGACAUAGGCAUUCUUUUC